GAUGAACGCUGACAGAAUGCUUAACACAUGCAAGUCUACUUGAACUUCGGUUUGGGUGGCGGACGGGUGAGUAACGCGUAAAGAACUUGCCUCACAGAUAGGGACAACAUUUGGAAACGAAUGCUAAUACCUGAUAUUAUGAUUUUAGGGCAUCCUAGAAUUAUGAAAGCUAUAUGCACUGUGAGAGAGCUUUGCGUCCCAUUAGCUAGUUGGAGAGGUAACGGCUCACCAAGGCGAUGAUGGGUAGCCGGCCUGAGAGGGUGAUCGGCCACAAGGGGACUGAGACACGGCCCUUACUCCUACGGGAGGCAGCAGUGGGGAAUAUGGGACAAUGGACCAAGAGUCUGAUCCAGCAAUUCUGUGUGCACGAUGAAGUUUUUCGGAAUGUAAAGUGCUUUCAGUUGGGAAGAAAAAAAUAACGGUACCAACAGAAGAAGUGACGGCUAAAUACGUG
rnacentral:rRNA from 1 species